rnacentral:rRNA from 1 species
UGAGGAAUAUUGGGCAAUGGGCGCAAGCCUGACCCAGCCAUGCCGCGUGAAGGAUGAAUGCCCUAUGGGUUGUAAACUUCUUUUGUACGGGACAAAACUCCUGGUCGUGACCGGGAUUGAUGGUACCGUGCGAAUAAGCAUCGGCUAACUCCGUGCCAGCAGCCGCGGUAAUACGGAGGAUGCGAGCGUUAUCCGGAUUCAUUGGGUUUAAAGGGUGCGUAGGCGGAAUAGCAAGUCAGCGGUGAAAGCCUGUGGCUUAACCAUAGAAUUGCCGUUGAUACUGUUGUUCUUGAGUGUAGUUGAAGUGGGCGGAAUGUGUAAUGUAGCGGUGAAAUGCUUAGAUAUUACACAGAACACCAAUUGCGAAGGCAGCUCACUAAGCUAAUACUGACGCUGAGGCACGAAAGCGUGGGGAGCAAACAG